CUGACCCACCCCCACAGCUUCAUGUUCUCCAUUGUGUGCUGUCCACACACCUCUGAGUGUGGGCCAGCCACUAGAGCAUUAAGCCACAUCAGUAAAGAAAACUGACUCUCCAUCUAGCUACCAAACCAACACGGAGUAGAAGGAGUUCCUGAGCUCUCACCCCUAGCUAAGGAGCUAUGGAAAGUUGGUGUCUUCUGAAAGAGACAAAAAGAACAAUGAAGAUUCCUUUUGGAAGAUUUUAGGGAUCAUUGGAUCAAUAAAAUCCCAAUUACAGCUCAA